rnacentral:lncRNA from 1 species
AGCCGUCUGGGAGUUGUCCCCGCCUGCUCUGAGGAACUCUCGGCGGGACACCAGCCACUGGCGCGGCUCUCGGUCGUAGUCGCUGCACGCAGGGGACGUGGGGCACGUCUCUACCUGCGGCGCGCAGUGCAAUGCAUCUGGCCAGGUUCGGGGACGGGUUAUCUGAAGCCUGAGGAUCAGGGUGCACUUGAAGACGCGUCUCUUUACAGCGCCGACAAAGCUUAAGUGCAGCCGAGAGAGGAACCGAAAAGACAGUUUACCAAAGCCUCACGACAGCGUUCCAUGAAAAGGAAAGCGCAUAGGGACCCUCCAAGGGCGCGCGCGCGCGCGCGCGCACACACACACACACACACACACACACACACACACACACACACGCAAACACACUCGCACACUCCAGCACUUCCUCCACAGGGUCUCCGAGAGGCCAAAUAAUGCUUCUAGCGACAGGCAGCCGACCCCUAGCGGAUCUAACUUCCAGCCAGAAGACUCUGACCCCGUCGCCAACUCAGUCCGCCGCGGGGGUGUCGGGGUUUGAGCGGUGUGGGAAAGUUAGAAGGAGCGGCUUCUGAAGUACUGUCUAGUAGCCCCGCCAGAGUCCCCGCACCGUGUCUGCCAACCUCAGCGUCCGCUCCAGCCAAGCAGAUCCUUCAGAAACCGGUCGGCGGUGCCAUUCAAGGCAGAGGGGGUGGGCGGGGGGUGGGGGGUGGACGUCUGAGCUUCUAACUCCGGACAGAUUCCAAAACAGGCGUCGCCAAAGAAAGAGCGCAUCACAUUUUUUUUCAGAUCUCAGAGUUGCAAAGGCUUUACAACUCCUACCCGGCACGGAAAGGAGACCCCAAGCGCGAUCCCAAGCGUCUACAAACCCGAGAACAGCUUUCGGCCUGCACUCGACCUCUCCCUCUGGCUUGGCUUACUUUUUAAACCACCUCCACCCCCACCGCCACCCCCGCGCGCGCCACUUCCUUCCCCCACCCCUUUCCUCCUUUUGCACCAGCUACAGAAUCGCGGCUAAGAUUCCUCCAAGAAAUUCACCAACACAACUCGGGUGGGGUUGGGGGGGGGGGUGACCUGACUAUCCUAAGAUGCCUGGCCUGUUCUAACCUCGGAAGCGCAACUCUUGUUCCAACAGGUCUUUGCACGGGGUCCAUCCGAGGACCGGAGUCCCAGGACUCCCCCGCUCCAGAGCCCGCUCCACCCCGCCUCUUUGCCUCACUUAGGAACUCGACGUGUCCAGCUGGUUUUCAACCUAACCUCUCCCCCCCCCCCGCACCGGCCCCAGUUUUCGAGGCGGGGGGCACUUUCGGGAAACCUUUGAGAAAGAAGUGUAAAGGAUGGAGAGUCACGUCCUUCCUGGCGGCGGUGGCUGCCCAGCGCCAUCCCACACUGCUGCCCUGGGUGCAGAGACCGCGGGCGCCCCUGAGCGACAGUCCGCUCUCACCACCAUCAGCGCAGCUUUCUGAGACGAUUUCUCUAUUCCCCGACCAGCGUCGCCGCUGGGAAUAACUGGGAAAGCGCUGGAAAGGGCAAAGGGCUUAUUGUUGAUUUGUUUAUUUGCUUUUAAGGGGGAAAGAGAUGGCGAUAUGCUAGCGACUGGCGCACGCGGAGCGAGGGCACCGUGGAACCGCCGACGCUCAGGAUCCCCGGACAAUCCUGUGCCUUUGGCGGUGUGUGGAGCGCUCUCGACGUUAAAGCCCAGUAAAUAGACGAAGGACUUGUUUCAAUUUCAACUUCACAAGGAUCCCUUUCUAAUCACUCCUUUCUUCCCUGAUUUUUUUUAAUUAAAAAAUACAGAUCAAAGUAAA